rnacentral:rRNA from 1 species
AAUGAACGUUGGCGGCGUGGAUUAGGCAUGCAAGUCGAACGGGCCGCAAGGCCAGUGGCGCAAGGGUGAGUAAGGCGACGGUAACCAACCCCAGGAUUGGGUAUAGCCGCGGGAAACCGCGGGUAAUCCCCAGCGACGCAACGGCACCGGCAUCGGUGCCUUGCCAAAGCUUCGGCGUCGUGGGACGGGCUGUCGUGGUAUUAGCUUGUUGGCGGGGUAACGGCCCACCAAGGCUCUGAUGCCUACCGGGCGUGCGAGCGUGGCCCGGCACACUGGGACUGAGACACUGCCCAGACUCCUACGGGAGGCUGCAGUCGAGAAUCUUCGGCAAUGGGCGCAAGCCUGACCGAGCGACGCCGCGUGGAGGAUGAAGGCCUUCGGGUUGUAAACUCCUGUCGAGGGGGAAAAAGGGUCGAAAGGCCUUGAUUGAUCCCUGGAGGAAGCACGGGCUAAGUUCGUGCCAGCAGCCGCGGUAAUAC